GUCGAACGAGGGCUUCGGCCCUAGUGGCGCACGGGUGAGUAACGCGUGGGAACCUGCCCUGUGGUACGGAAUAACUCCGGGAAACUGGAGCUAAUACCGUAUGUGUCCUGCGGGACAAAGAUUUAUCGCCAUGGGAUGGGCCCGCGUAGGAUUAGCUUGUUGGUGGGGUAACGGCCUACCAAGGCUUCGAUCCUUAGCUGGUCUGAGAGGAUGAUCAGCCACACUGGGACUGAGACACGGCCCAGACUCC
rnacentral:rRNA from 1 species